rnacentral:rRNA from 1 species
GGGGGAUAACUAGUCGAAAGAUUAGCUAAUACCGCAUACGCCCUGAGGGGGAAAGUAGGGGAUCUUCGGACCUUACGUUAUAAGAGCGGCCGAUAUCUGAUUAGCUAGUUGGUGGGGUAAUGGCCUACCAAGGCGACGAUCAGUAGCUGGUCUGAGAGGACGACCAGCCACACUGGAACUGAGACACGGUCCAGACUCCUACGGGAGGCAGCAGUGGGGAAUUUUGGACAAUGGGCGCAAGCCUGAUCCAGCCAUUCCGCGUGAGUGAAGAAGGCCUUCGGGUUGUAAAGCUCUUUCGCAAGGGAAGAAAACUUACAUUCUAAUAAAGUGUGAGGCUGACGGUACCUUGAUAAGAAGCACCGGCUAACUACGUGCCAGCAGCCGCGGUAAUACGUAGGGUGCGAGCGUUAAUCGGAAUUACUGGGCGUAAAGCGUGCGCAGGCGGUUUUGUAAGUCAGAUGUGAAAUCCCCGAGCUCAACUUGGGAACUGCGUUUGAAACUACAAGACUAGAAUAUGUCAGAGGGGGGUAGAAUUCCACGUGUAGCAGUGAAAUGCGUAGAGAUGUGGAGGAAUACCAAUGGCGAAGGCAGCCCCCUGGGAUAAUAUUGACGCUCAUGCACGAAAGCGUGGGGAGCAAACAGGAUUAGAUACCCUGGUAGUCCACGCCCUAAACGAUGUCUACUAGUUGUUGGUGGAGUAAAAUCCAUGAGUAACGCAGCUAACGCGUGAAGUAGACCGCC